rnacentral:antisense_RNA from 1 species
AAGGACUGUGCUCCCAAUCCGCUUACGCUCAAGGAAGAACUGGAAGGCCCAGAACCAGCCUGCUGUCAGGAUCAGAACAAAAGAGGAGGACUGCAUAUGUAUGGACCCACUCCAGAUGGCAUGGGGACGGGGGGAGUAGGAAAAGUGGCAUGGUCCCUUCCCGUGGGUAUAAUUCUUCCCAGGCCUGUUGUGUGAGUUGGUGAUGCCAUCAUUCCUGCCCCACACUUGCAAACUUCCCUUUUUGGAAUUUCAGAGACCAGGCCCACAGAGUAUGGCUGUGCAAGUUGUUCACUCUACAAGGGCACCUGGCCGGGCUCUCUGGUGGAGCCUCUGUCUCACAGGUCACCUGCAGGCCAACACUCCCAGAAGCAGCUAGCACCAUGGUUGACCUCGUCCAGGUCCAGGGAAGGCCUCCCUCUCCAGGACU